GGGGAAUUUUCCGCAAUGGGCGAAAGCCUGACGGAGCAAUACCGCGUGAGGGAUGACGGCCUAUGGGUUGUAAACCUCUUUUUUCAGGGAGGAAUCAAUGACGUGUACCCUGAAGAAUAAGCAUCGGCUAACUCCGUGCCAGCAGCCGCGGUAAGANCGGAGGAUGCAAGUGUUAUCCGGAAUCACUGGGCGUAAAGCGUCCGUAGGUGGUUUAAUAAGUCAACUGUUAAAUCUUGAGGCCCAACCUCAAAAUCGCAGUCGAAACUAUUAGACUAGAGUAUAGUAGGGGUAAAGGGAAUUUCCAGUGGAGCGGUGAAAUGCGUAGAGAUUGGAAAGAACACCGAUGGCGAAGGCACUUUACUGGGCUAUUACUAACACUCAGAGACGAAAGCUAGGGUAGCAAAUGGGAUUAGAUACCCCAGUAGUC
rnacentral:rRNA from 1 species